AUGAACGCUAGCGGCGUGCUUUGAAUAUGCAAGUAGAACGGGUCUCGCAAGAGAUCAGUUGCGAACGGCUGAGUAAUGGAUAGGAAUCUACCUUUUGAUGUGGAAUACCCCUGCGAAAGCAGGGCUAAUACCGCAUAAGACCUACGGGUGAAAGCACUUAACUGUGCGUCGAAAGAUGAGCCUAUUUCCCAUCAGCUUGUUGGUAUGGUAAUGGCCUACCAAGGCUAUGACGGGUAGGGGGCGUGAGAGCGUGACCCCCCAGAAUGGGACUGAGACACGGCCCAUACACCUACGUGUGGCAGCAGCUGGGAAUCGUACACAAUGGACGAAAGUCUGAUGUCGCGACGCCGCGUGGAGGAUUGAAGGCCUUAGGGUCGUAAACUUCUUUUGACGUGUGUGAGACCGCACGUAGAAUAAGCACCUGCUAACUCUGU
rnacentral:rRNA from 1 species